UACGGAGGGUGCAAGCAUUGAUCGGAAUUACUGGGCGUAAAGGGCGCGUAGGCGGUAUGGAAAGUCAGAUGUGAAAUUCCGGAGCUCAACUCCGGAGCUGCAUUUGAGACUUCCAAACUAGAGUGCAGUUAGGGAAAACGGAAUUCCACGUGUAGCGGUGAAAUGCGUAGAUAUGUGGAGGAACACCGGUGGUGAAGACGGUUUUCUGGGCUGAGACUGACGCUGAGGCGCGAAAGCAAGGGGAGCAAACAGG
rnacentral:rRNA from 1 species